rnacentral:rRNA from 1 species
AUGAACGCUGGCGGCGUGCCUAAUACAUGCAAGUCGCGCGAACGGACGAGAAGCUUGCUUCUCUGAUGUUAGCGGCGGACGGGUGGGUAACACGUGGAUAACCUACCUAUAAGACUGGGAUAACUUCGGGAAACCGGAGCUAAUACCGGAUGAUAUUUUGAACCGCAUGGUUCAAAAGUGAAAGACGGUCUUGCUGUCACUUAUAGAUGGAUCCGCGCUGCAUUAGCUAGUUGGUAAGGUAACGGCUUACCAAGGCAACGAUGCAUAGCCGACCUGAGAGGGUGAUCGGCCACACUGGAACUGAGACACGGUCCAGACUCCUACGGGAGGCAGCAGUAGGGAAUCUUCCGCAAUGGGCGAAAGCCUGACGGAGCAACGCCGCGUGAGUGAUGAAGGUCUUCGGAUCGUAAAACUCUGUUAUUAGGGAAGAACAUAUGUGUAAGUAACUGUGCACAUCUUGACGGUACCUAAUCAGAAAGCCACGGCUAACUACGUG